AAAACUGAAAGCAGCGAUCUGAUUGGUUGCUAUGGGCAACUUUUCCUCUGGACAGGUCCACAAGAAAGGUGGGACAAUACAAAGAUUGUAGGGACUGAUGAUGUGGGGAAGAUACAGAUGUGGAAUGGCAUUAUAGGGGCACAGACUGCCAUGUAUUUGCUCUCCACUCCUUGCCCAGCCUUUUUGAGAUGGCCUCCAAGGUAGCUCUUUCUCUGUUCACCAUAUGAACUGUUAUGCCCAAUACUGAGAGAGAGAACAUAAAGCGGUGGAUGGUAUAAAGCUAAUGAAACAAGAGAAAAUAAUUACAAUACAUCAUGAAGAUGAGUAUACUUUGCUUUGGAAUUACAUUGAAUUAAACCUCAAUAAACCUGCCAUAAUGAAUGCAAUGUGCGGGAUAAAAAACAACAAUAAUCAAUAAAAAUACCGCGGAUCCUCGCAAUGUGAUGAUGCUGCCAACUAUUCGGAGCGAUCGCCUUUUCAAUUCAGUGCAAAGAGGUCACCGUUGUUCUUCAUAGAUAACAUAGUUGUCCAUAGACGAGAGCUGUUUUGUAGGAGCAGUAGUCUCUGGUGGAUUAAAGGGGUAUUCCAGGAAUUAUUUUUUAUUUGACUAUGCUACAGGGGCUGUAAAGUUAGUGUAGUUCAUAAUAUAGUGUCUGUUCCUGUGUGUGACGGUUUUCUCACAAUUCUUCUGUGAUUUUCACCCCAAUAUUUAUUUUUACCAGCAUACAAAAGUACUGUUGUCUCAGAUUUUUCCCAGGUUACAAUGCGGCCGAGACCUGACUCACUAGUCAGCUGAUGACAGGGAGCCUGUCUGGUUCAAUUGGUGGAGGGAUCACUUGGUGGGAGAGAGAUCAAUCUGCAACUAAUGCAACAGCUGGAGGCACCCUGAUUGAAAACCACACUGAUUUGAAUGGAUGCAGCUCAUUUAUGUUUCAAUGGGUGGGGUGGCUGAUGUGUGGGAGGGAGGAAGAUGAAAUUGUGGGAUUUGUAGUCAAAAAACGAAAAGUCAAACAGGAAAUACUAGUUCACAAACAGCUAGUCACAGUGUUAUGGUAAUCUUACAACACAGCCAUUUAGCCCCAAGACAAGCCCAGAUCCUUCCUAAGCAUGUCCAUUACUGUCUGCCAGGUAUGUACUAAAAUCAUCUUAUGGAGGAUAACCCCUUUAAAGUUGUCUACAUAAUACAUGGACCGCCAACAAUCUAAAUAAAUGCCAUACAAUAUGAUGUUUUUUGACUGAGGUGAAGUGUCCGGAGUGGCAUGGCUAAUCCUGACUUAAAUGUGUGGCACAAAGAAGAAAACACCUUUAAAUUUAAACAGGCACUGUUAAUUCAACUAAUUUUGCAUAAAUGAAUAGUACAUGCUUAUAUAAAAAAAAAUGGUAUAUCUUAUGAGAGAAAAAUGCCUCUGUCAGGAAGUUUUCAAGGGGACUUCAAUGCGAUGUCACAGAAUUUCUAAUUAAUAGACACGAGCCCGCUGAGAAAUG